GACGAACGCUGGCGGCGUGCCUAAUACAUGCAAGUUGAGCGAUGAAGAUUGGUGCUUGCACCAAUUUGAAGAGCAGCGAACGGGUGAGUAACGCGUGGUGAAUCUGCCUUUGAGCGGGGGACAACAUUUGGAAACGAAUGCUAAUACCGCAUAGCAACUUUAAACAUAAGUUUUAAGUUUGAAAGAUGCAAUUGCAUCACUCAAAGAUGAUCCCGCGUUGUAUUAGCUAGUUGGUGAGGUAAAGGCUCACCACGGCGAUGAUACAUAGCCGACCUGAGAGGGUGAUCGGCCACAUUGGGACUGGGACACGGCCCAAACUCCUACGGGAGGCAGCAGUAGGGAAUCUUCGGCAAUGGACGAAAGUCUGACCGAGCAACGCCGCGUGAGUGAAGAAGGUUUUCGGAUCGUAAAACUCUGUUGGUAGAGAAGAACGUUGGUGAGAGUGGAAAGCGCAUCAAGUGACGGUAACUACCCAGAAAGGGACGGCUAACUACGUG
rnacentral:rRNA from 1 species